rnacentral:rRNA from 1 species
CAAGACCUGCACUUUUGGAGCGGCCGAUGUCUGAUUAGCUAGUUGGUGGGGUAAUGGCCUACCAAAGCUUCGAUCAGUAGCUGGUCUGAGAGGACGGCCAGCCACACUGGGACUGAGACACGGCCCAGACUCCUACGGGAGGCAGCAGUGGGGAAUUUUGGACAAUGGGCGCAAGCCUGAUCCAGCCAUGCCGCGUGAGUGAAGAAGGCCUUCGGGUUGUAAAGCUCUUUCAGCCGGGAAGAAAAGGUUGCGACUAAUAAUCGCAAUCCAUGACGGUACCGAAAGAAGAAGCACCGGCUAACUACGUGCCAGCAGCCGCGGUAAUACGUAGGGUGCGAGCGUUAAUCGGAAUUACUGGGCGUAAAGGGUGCGCAGGCGGUUUUGUAAGUCAGAUGUGAAAUCCCCGGGCUUAGCCUGGGAACU